rnacentral:rRNA from 1 species
UGGCGGACGGGUGAGUAAUGUCUGGGAAACUGCUUGAUGGAGGGGGAUAACUACUGGAAACGGUAGCUAAUACCGCAUAACGUCGCAAGACCAAAGAGGGGGACCUUCGGGCCUCUUGCCAUCGGAUGUGCCCAGAUGGGAUUAGCUAGUAGGUGGGGUAACGGCUCACCUAGGCGACGAUCCCUAGCUGGUCUGAGAGGAUGACCAGCCACACUGGAACUGAGACACGGUCCAGACUCCUACGGGAGGCAGCAUG